GCCCCCUGACAAGACUGACGCUCAGAUGCGAAAGCGUGGGAGCAAACAGGAUUAGAUACCCUGGUAGUCCACGCCGUAAACGAUGUCUACUUGAAGGUUGUGGCCUUGAGCCGUGGCUUUCGGAGCUAACGCGUUAAGUAGACCGCCUGGGGAGUACGGUCGCAAGAUUAAAACUCAAAUGAAUUGACGGGGGCCCGCACAAGCGGUGGAGCAUGUGGUUUAAUUCGAUGCAACGCGAAGAACCUUACCUACUCUUGACAUCCAGAGAAGUUACCAGAGAUGGUUUCGUGCCUUCGGGAACUCUGAGACAGGUGCUGCAUGGCUGUCGUCAGCUCGUGUUGUGAAAUGUUGGGUUAAGUCCCGCAACGAGCGCAACCCUUAUCCUUGUUUGCCAGCACGUAAUGGUGGGAACUCCAGGGAGACUGCCGGUGAUAAACCGGAGGAAGGUGGGGACGACGUCAAGUCAUCAUGGCCCUUACGAGUAGGGCUACACACGUGCUACAAUGGCGUAUACAGAGGGCUGCCAACCAGCGAUGGUGAGCGAAUCCCACAAAGUACGUCGUAGUCCGGAUCGGAGUCUGCAACUCGACUCCGUGAAGUCGGAAUCGCUAGUAAUCGUGAAUCAGAAUGUCACGGUGAAUACGUUCCCGGGCCUUGUACACACCGCCCGUCACACCAUGGGAGUGGGCUGCACCAGAAGUAGAUAGCUUAACCUUCGGGAGGGCGUUUACCACGGUGUGGUUCAUGACUGGGGUGAAGUCGUAACAAGGUAACCGUA
rnacentral:rRNA from 1 species